AUAUUCAUAAGUUGGAAAUUCAAGCAAGUUGGAGAAUCAAAGAAGGAGAUUUUGGCGGAUUUGCAACUUGAAUUUGGAAUAGCAUAAGGAGCGGAAAGAGGUCAGCAGGUAGACGGACCUGAUUUCUAGGAGUUCUAUCAGCAGUUAUCGGCAGCGCUCCAGUUGUCCCGGAGCCUCAGUUUCUUGGUACUAUUUUGUGUAUAUAUGUUCGGGCACGGCAGUACUCGGCCCUUCCUAUG